UACGGAAGGUAGCAGUGGGGAAUAUUGGACAAUGGGCGAAAGCCUGAUCCAGCCAUGCCGCAUGAGUGAAGAAGGCCUUCGGGUUGUAAAGCUCUUUUAGUGAGAAAGAUAAUGACGGUACUCACAGAAGAAGUCCUGGCUAACUCCGUGCCAGCAGCCGCGGUAAUACGGAGAGGGCUAGCGUUAUUCGGAAUUAUUGGGCGUAAAGAGCGCGUAGGCUGAUUAGUAAGUUAAAAGUGAAAUCCCAAAGCUUAACUUUGGAAUUGCUUUUUAAAACUGCUAGUCUAGAGAUUUGAAAGAGGAUAGAGGAAUUCCUAGUGUAGAGGUGAAAUUCGUAAAUAUUAGGAGGAACACCAGUGGCGAAGGCGUCUAUCUGGUUCAAAUCUGACGCUGAGGCGCGAAGGGCGUGGGGAGCAAACAGGGAUUAGAUACC
rnacentral:rRNA from 1 species